AGUGAACGCUGGCGGUAGGCCUAACACAUGCAAGUCGAACGGCAGCACAGUAAGAGCUUGCUCUUACGGGUGGCGAGUGGCGGACGGGUGAGGAAUACAUCGGAAUCUACUUUUUCGUGGGGGAUAACGUAGGGAAACUUACGCUAAUACCGCAUACGACCUACGGGUGAAAGCAGGGGAUCUUCGGACCUUGCGCGAUUGAAUGAGCCGAUGUCGGAUUAGCUAGUUGGCGGGGUAAAGGCCCACCUAGGCGACGAUCCGUAGCUGGUCUGAGAGGAUGAUCAGCCACACUGGAACUGAGACACGGUCCAGACUCCUACGGGAGGCAGCAGUGGGGAAUAUUAGACAAUGGGCGCAAGCCUGAUCCAGCCAUACCGCGUGGGUGAAGAAGGCCUUCGGGUUGUAAAGCCCUUUUGUUGGGAAAGAAAAGCAGCAGGUUAAUACCCCGCUGUUCUGACGGUACCCAAAGAAUAAGCACCGGCUAACUUCGUG
rnacentral:rRNA from 1 species